CAGUCUGCGUAAUUGAAGCUGAGCAAAGAGAGAUAUUCGUGGUUGUUGAUCAAGUGUUGUGCCAAAUCAAAACCAAUUUCCGACACCCUACAUCAACAAUAUUGUGCUUCAUCAGCGGCAUCAGCAACAUUUGAAAACCAACAAAGUGUCGAACAAAGUGGAGUGAAAGAGUGGAGUUAUUUGUGAAGCCAUCAUAAAUAGCACUUAAAUGACUAAUA